rnacentral:rRNA from 1 species
GUUUUUCGCUCUAAGAUGAGUCCGCGUAAGAUUAGCUAGUUGGUGAGGUAACGGCUCACCAAGGCGACGAUCUUUAACUGGUCUGAGAGGAUGAUCAGUCACACUGGAACUGAGACACGGUCCAGACUCCUACGGGAGGCAGCAGUAGGGAAUAUUGCACAAUGGAGGAAACUCUGAUGCAGCGACGCCGCGAGUGAUGAAGGCCUUCGGGUCGUAAAGCUCUGUCGCAGGGGAAUAACACAAUG